rnacentral:rRNA from 1 species
UACGAGGGGGGCAAGCGUUGUUCGGAAUUAUUGGGCGUAAAGGGUGCGUAGGCGGUCUGACAAGUCUGAUGUGAAAUCUAUGGGCUCAACCCAUAGUCUGCAUCGGAAACUGUCGGGCUUGAGUAUGGGAGAGGUGAGUGGAAUUUCCGGUGUAGAGGUGAAAUUCGUAGAUAUUCGGAAGAACACCAGUGGCGAAGGCGGCUCACUGGCCCGUUACCGACGCUCAGGCGCGACAGCGUGGGGAGCAAACAGG